GCUCGGGUAGCUGAUUCAUUGUCUGGCAAGGCUCUCUGCAGGGCCCGGCUGGCGGCCCAGCGGUAAAGCACUGUCGUUCCUCAGUUUGAAAAAGCACCUUGUUGGUUAGUGAAGAGAAGAUCGAAUCCUGCUUUGAAAACUGCAAUGAUGAGUGCGCGGGUAUUCCUUUAUGAUUUUUACCCGUAAAGAAUAGAUGGAUCCUGGACGCUCCUUUGAUAGCUUCACAGCGCUGAUGAGUGAUCAUCUCUCUGCCCCAGAACCCGGCAGCUUCCAUUUGGUACCCACCCCAGAAGAUGAAGUGCUCCAGUUCUAUGAGAAACCAGCAGAAGGAUGGCAGGAGAUGAAGGGAGCCAAUACAGAUGUGGAAGAUGUGGAAAAGAGAGGCUUUCAGGGCAGGAGGUAGGUCUUUUCCUAGCCCACCCUGACCUGGAACAGAAAACUUAGCAUAUUCUAAGUGGUGAGCCUCCCAGCCUUGGGACAACAGUUGACCUAAUGUGCUUACAAAUUUACCACUGGAUUACUAAUAUGAUAUAGGAAUAGUGCUCAGCCUCCCACCAGUCAUCUAAGACUUGAUGAGUUUCAUCCAAAUUCAAGAAGAUAAUCCAAAUAUACCUUUUUAACAAGUUCUCUCAUGGCCAGAAGCUUCCCAGUCUCAGACCCAACAAAGAGAAGCUCUUGUUCUACAGUCUCUACUGCAGAAUUCCUGAAAGGAAAACAUACCUUGAAGAUUGCAAGAACCAAUUUUUGUUUCCCCACAGCCUGAAUUCUAAAUAAAUGAAAAAACUUACAUAUAACCCCCAAAGAAUCAACCUUUCCAUUGUCAAUAUAAGCAUUUAAUUAUUUAUACCUUAAUCUGAAGACAAAAUAAACCCUAUACCCAAGGGGGGACUUGAACUCACAACCCCGAGAUCAAGAGUC